GGAGAGGUGUCCGAGUUGGCUUAAGGAGCGCGACUGGAAAUCGCGUGGGCGGGGAUGACCUGCCUCGUGGGUUCGAAUCCCACCCUCUCCGCCA
rnacentral:tRNA from 1 species